GACAGAGGGUGCAAACGUUGCUCGGAAUUACUGGGCGUAAAGCGCGUGUAGGCUGACCUUCAAGUCGGACGUGAAAUCCCUGAGCUCAACUCAGGAACUGCAUCCGAAACUGAAGGCCUAGAGUAGUGGAGAGGGAAGCAGAAUUCCUGGUGUAGAGGUGAAAUUCGUAGAUAUCAGGAGGAACACCGGUGGCGAAGGCGGCUUCCUG
rnacentral:rRNA from 1 species